rfam:Tumebacillus flagellatus strain GST4 Contig106, whole genome shotgun sequence.
AGGGGUAGAGCAUCGCCUUGCCAAGGCGAGGGUCGCGGGUUCGAAUCCCGUCUUCCGCU